GUGCUCAUUUCAGCAGCACAUAUACUAAAAUUAGAACGAUGCAGAGAGGAUUAGCAGGGCCCCUGCACAAGGAUGCCACGCGAACUUGUGAAACGUCCCGUAUUCUU